rnacentral:rRNA from 1 species
CGGAGGAUCCAAGCGUUAUCCGGAAUCAUUGGGUUUAAAGGGUCCGUAGGCGGUUUUAUAAGUCAGUGGUGAAAUCUGGUCGCUCAACGAUCAAACGGCCAUUGAUACUGUAGAACUUGAAUUACUUGGAAGUAACUAGAAUAUGUAGUGUAGCGGUGAAAUGCUUAGAGAUUACAUGGAAUACCAAUUGCGAAGGCAGGUUACUACAAGUGGAUUGACGCUGAUGGACGAAAGCGUGGGGAGCGAACAGGAUUAGAUACCCUGGUAGUCCACGCCGUAAACGAUGGAUACUAGCUGUUCGGAGCAAUCUGAGUGGCUAAGCGAAAGUGAUAAGUAUCCCACCUGGGAAGUACGAUCGCAAGAUUG